AUUGAACGCUGGCGGCAGGCCUAACACAUGCAAGUCGAGCGAGCGGCGGACGGGUGAGUAAUGUAUGGGGAACUGCCCGAUGGAGGGGGAUAACUACUGGAAACGGUGGCUAAUACCGCAUACUAUCAGAUGAACCCAUAUGGGAUUAGCUUGUUGGUGGGGUAAAGGCUCACCAAGGCGACGAUCCCUAGCUGGUCUGAGAGGAUGAUCAGCCACACUGGGACUGAGACACGGUCCAGACUCCUACGGGAGGCAGCAGUGGGGAAUAUUGCACAAUGGGCGCAAGCCUGAUGCAGCCAUGCCGCGUGUAUGAAGAAGGCCUUAGGGUUGUAAAGUACUUUCAGCGGGGAGGCGUUACCCGCAGAAGAAGCACCGGCUAACUCCGUGCCAGCAGCCGCGGUAAUUC
rnacentral:rRNA from 1 species